ACGACCUUACUUGAACAGGAUCUGUUCUAUAGGCCUGUACCUCGACAUCCCUGUGUUCUACGGAGACAGGAAACGCAGUCUGGUUGAUGAACCAUGACCGCACGACUGGAGAGUGAUCAAUGGGUUGCACAGGCCUAUGAUGUAGGCCUUGUGGUUGUAGAUGAUCGUUCUCAGCGUGUUUUCGGACUGCUGUGGUGGUCGUGCGGUUGUCUGACAGACU